rnacentral:lncRNA from 1 species
AAGGAAGCCAUCUUACACGAAUAAUAAGUGAGGUUCACAUUAAAACUGGUUGUAAACAAACGCAGACAUGUUGGACGUACCAAAACCGGAGUUUAUUGCUCUCAAGUACAACUUUUCAUCAAAAAAUCGUAAAGUGCGGUGCCAGGGUGAGGGUCGGAGCCGGAGGUAGAGGCAGCGGAGGUAGAGGCAGUGGAGGAAGUGGCAACGGAGGAUGGCCGGCGCAGCGCGUCAAAGACGGGGCACUCAGUUAUCUGUACACCAUGACCCCGGAGAUGUUUGAUCAUGUUGGUGGUACACCCGCCUUUGCACGAUAUAAUUGUUUUGCAAAUGUUGCACCGAGCCGAC